rnacentral:rRNA from 1 species
ACGUAUGCGGGCUGGUAAUUCGGUACCAAAUCGUUGCAAACUAAGAAUACUAAGUGUACAGUUCAUCAGUGAGACUGUGGGGGAUAAGCUCCAUUGUCAAGAGGGAAACAGCCCAGAGCACCAGUUAAGGCCCCUAAAUAAUUACUAAGUGAUAAAGGAGGUGGGAGUGCAUAAACAAUCAGGAGGUUUGCUUAGAAGCAGCAAUCCUUUAAAGAGUGCGUAAUAGCUCACUGAUCGAGUAAACCUGCGCCGAAAAUGUACGGGACUAAGUAAUUUGCCGAAACUGUGCGAUAUAUUUUAAAUAUAUCGGUAGGGGAGCGUUCUGUUGUAGAUUGAAGUAUUAGCGUAAGCGGGUAUGGACGAAGCAGAAGUGAGAAUGUCGGCUUGAGUAACGAAAAUAUAGGUGAGAAUCCUAUACCCCGAAAACCCAAGGUUUCCUCCGGAAGGCUCGUCCGCGGAGGGUAAGUCAGGACCUAAGGCGAGGCUGAAAAGCGUAGUCGAUGGACAACGGGUUAAUAUUCCCGUACCAUUAUUUAUUGAUAACGAGGGACGGAGAAGGCUAAGCUGGCCGGAUAUUGGUUUACCGGUUUAAACGUUCGAGAUGAUGAGAGACGGCGAAAACGUUUUGAGUUGAGGCGUGAGUACGAGAUGCUACGGCAUCGAAGCAGUGUAUGUCAGACUUCCAAGAAAAGCUCGCAAUGUCAUAAAUAAAUAAUGCCUGUACCAUAACCGACACAGGUGGGUAGGUAGAGUAUACUAAGGGGCGCGAGAUAACUCUCUCUAAGGAACUCGGCAAAAUGACUCCGUAACUUCGGGAGAAGGAGUGCCUUAUUUAUAAGGUUGCAAUAACAAGAUCCAAGCAACUGUUUACCAAAAACACAGGUCUCCGCUAAGUCGUAAGACGAUGUAUGGGGGCUGACGCCUGCCCAGUGCCAGAAGGUUAAAGAAGUUGGUUAGCAUUAGCGAAGCUGAUGACUGAAGCCCUGGUGAACGGCGGCCGUAACUAUAACGGUCCUAAGGUAGCGAAAUUCCUUGUCGGGUAAGUUCCGACCCGCACGAAAGGCGUAAUGAUUUGGAUACUGUCUCAGAGAGGGGCUCGGUGAAAUAGACUUGUCUGUGAAGAUGCGGACUACCUGCACCAGGACAGAAAGACCCUAUGAAGCUUUACUGUAACCUGAAAUUGAAAUUGGACUUUAUUUGCGCAGUAUAGGUGGGAGGCGUUGAGAGUAUUCUUGCGGGAAUAUUGGAGCCAUCAGUGAGAUACCACUCUGGUAAUGUUAGAUUUCUAACUUUGAAUCAUAAUCUGGUCAAAGAACAGUUUCAGGCGGGCAGUUUGACUGGGGCGGUCGCCUCCUAAACGGUAACGGAGGCGUACAAAGGUUUCCUCUGAACGUGUAGAAAUCGUAUCUAGAGUGUAAAGGCAUAAGGAAGCUUGACUGUGAGACCUACAAGUCGAGCAGGGACGAAAGUCGGUCUUAGUGAUCUGACGGUGCUGAGUGGAAAGGCCGUCACUCAACGGAUAAAAGUUACUCUAGGGAUAACAGGCUGAUCUCCCCCAAGAGUUCACAUCGACGGGGAGGUUUGGCACCUCGAUGUCGGCUCAUCGCAUCCUGGGGCGGUAGUACGUCCCAAGGGUUGGGCUGUUCGCCCAUGAAAGCGGUACGCGAGCUGGGUUCAGAACGUCGUGAGACAGUUCGGUCCAUAUCCGGUGUAGGCGUUAGAAUAUUGAGAGGAGCCUUCUUUAGUACGAGAGGACCGAGAAGGACAUACCUCUGGUGUACCAGUUAUCGUGCCAACGGUAAACGCUGGGUAGCUAUGUGUGGAGAGGAUAACCGCUGAAAGCAUCUAAGUGGGAAGCCCACCUCAAGAUAAGUAUUCUCAUCACGUAAGUGAGUAAGGUCACGGUAAGACUAACCGUUUAAUAGGCAUUAAGUGUAAAUGUAGUAAUAUAUGAGCUGAGAUGUGCUAACAGACCGAGGACUUGAAUUU